rnacentral:rRNA from 1 species
GACGAACCGUGCGAACGUUGUUCGGAAUCACUGGGCUUAAAGGGCGCGUAGGCGGUUGACCAAGUCUGGGGUGAAAUCUUUCGGCUUAACCGGAAAAGUGCCUUGGAAACUGGUCAGCUGGAGGGAGGUAGAGGCAGGUGGAAUUCCGGGUGUAGCGGUGGAAUGCGUAGAGAUCCGGAAGAACACCGGUGGCGAAGGCGGCUCUCUGGAACGCAACUGACGCUGAGACGCGAAAGCGUGGGGAGCAACAGGAGUAG